CCUACGGGAGGCAGCAGUGGGGAAUCUUCCGCAAUGGACGAAAGUCUGACGGAGCAACGCCGCGUGAGUGAUGACGGCCUUCGGGUUGUAAAGCUCUGUUAAUCGGGACGAAUGGUUCUUGUGCGAAUAGUGCGAGGAUUUGACGGUACCGGAAUAGAAAGCCACGGCUAACUACGUGCCAGCAGCCGCGGUAAUACGUAGGUGGCAAGCGUUGUCCGGAAUUAUUGGGCGUAAAGCGCGCGCAGGCGGAUUGGUCAGUCUGUCUUAAAAGUUCGGGGCUUAACCCCGUGAUGGGAUGGAAACUGCCAAUCUAGAGUAUCGGAGAGGAAAGUGGAAUUCCUAGUGUAGCGGUGAAAUGCGUAGAUAUUAGGAAGAACACCAGUGGCGAAGGCGACUUUCUGGACGAAAACUGACGCUGAGGCGCGAAAGCCAGGGGAGC
rnacentral:rRNA from 1 species